UUAAGUUAUUAAGGGCGCACGGUGGAUGCCUUGGCACUAGAAGCCGAUGAAGGACGUUACUAACGACGAUAUGCUUUGGGGAGCUGUAAGUAAGCUUUGAUCCAGAGAUUUCCGAAUGGGGAAGCCCAGCAUGAGUUAUGUCAUGUUAUCGAUAUGUGAAUACAUAGCAUAUCAGAAGGCACACCCGGAGAACUGAAACAUCUUAGUACCCGGAGGAAGAGAAAGAAAAUUCGAUUCCCUUAGUAGCGGCGAGCGAAACGGGAAGAGCCCAAACCAACAAGCUUGCUUGUUGGGGUUGUAGGACACUCUAUACGGAGUUACAAAAGACGACAUUAGACGAAUCAUCUGGAAAGAUGAAUCAAAGAAGGUAAUAAUCCUGUAGUCGAAAAUGUUGUCUCUCUUGAGUGGAUCCUGAGUACGACGGAGCACGUGAAAUUCCGUCGGAAUCUGGGAGGACCAUCUCCUAAGGCUAAAUACUCUCUAGUGACCGAUAGUGAACCAGUACCGUGAGGGAAAGGCGAAAAGCACCCCGGAAGGGGAGUGAAAUAGAACCUGAAACCGUGUGCUUACAAGUAGUCAGAGCCCGUUAAUGGGUGAUGGCGUGCCUUUUGUAGAAUGAACCGGCGAGUUACGAUUUGAUGCAAGGUUAAGCAGUAAAUGUGGAGCCGUAGCGAAAGCGAGUCUGAAUAGGGCGUUUAGUAUUUGGUCGUAGACCCGAAACCAGGUGAUCUACCCUUGGUCAGGUUGAAGUUCAGGUAACACUGAAUGGAGGACCGAACCGACUUACGUUGAAAAGUGAGCGGAUGAACUGAGGGUAGCGGAGAAAUUCCAAUCGAACCUGGAGAUAGCUGGUUCUCUCCGAAAUAGCUUUAGGGCUAGCCUCAAGUGAUGAUUAUUGGAGGUAGAGCACUGUUUGGACGAGGGGCCCCUCUCGGGUUACCGAAUUCAGACAAACUCCGAAUGCCAAUUAAUUUAACUUGGGAGUCAGAACAUGGGUGAUAAGGUCCGUGUUCGAAAGGGAAACAGCCCAGACCACCAGCUAAGGUCCCAAAAUAUAUGUUAAGUGGAAAAGGAUGUGGCGUUGCCCAGACAACUAGGAUGUUGGCUUAGAAGCAGCCAUCAUUUAAAGAGUGCGUAAUAGCUCACUAGUCGAGUGACACUGCGCCGAAAAUGUACCGGGGCUAAACAUAUUACCGAAGCUGUGGAUUGUCCUUUGGACAAUGGUAGGAGAGCGUUCUAAGGGCGUUGAAGCAUGAUCGUAAGGACAUGUGGAGCGCUUAGAAGUGAGAAUGCCGGUGUGAGUAGCGAAAGACGGGUGAGAAUCCCGUCCACCGAUUGACUAAGGUUUCCAGAGGAAGGCUCGUCCGCUCUGGGUUAGUCGGGUCCUAAGCUGAGGCCGACAGGCGUAGGCGAUGGAUAACAGGUUGAUAUUCCUGUACCACCUAUAAUCGUUUUAAUCGAUGGGGGGACGCAGUAGGAUAGGCGAAGCGUGCGAUUGGAUUGCACGUCUAAGCAGUAAGGCUGAGUAUUAGGCAAAUCCGGUACUCAUUAAGGCUGAGCUGUGAUGGGGAGAAGACAUUGUGUCUUCGAGUCGUUGAUUUCACACUGCCGAGAAAAGCCUCUAGAUAGAAAAUAGGUGCCCGUACCGCAAACCGACACAGGUAGUCAAGAUGAGAAUUCUAAGGUGAGCGAGCGAACUCUCGUUAAGGAACUCGGCAAAAUGACCCCGUAACUUCGGGAGAAGGGGUGCUCUUUAGGGUUAACGCCCAGAAGAGCCGCAGUGAAUAGGCCCAAGCGACUGUUUAUCAAAAACACAGGUCUCUGCUAAACCGUAAGGUGAUGUAUAGGGGCUGACGCCUGCCCGGUGCUGGAAGGUUAAGAGGAGUGGUUAGCUUCUGCGAAGCUACGAAUCGAAGCCCCAGUAAACGGCGGCCGUAACUAUAACGGUCCUAAGGUAGCGAAAUUCCUUGUCGGGUAAGUUCCGACCCGCACGAAAGGCGUAACGAUUUGGGCACUGUCUCAACGAGAGACUCGGUGAAAUCAUAGUACCUGUGAAGAUGCAGGUUACCCGCGACAGGACGGAAAGACCCCGUGGAGCUUUACUGUAGCCUGAUAUUGAAAUUCGGCACAGCUUGUACAGGAUAGGUAGGAGCCUUUGAAACGUGAGCGCUAGCUUACGUGGAGGCGCUGGUGGGAUACUACCCUAGCUGUGUUGGCUUUCUAACCCGCACCACUUAUCGUGGUGGGAGACAGUGUCAGGCGGGCAGUUUGACUGGGGCGGUCGCCUCCUAAAAGGUAACGGAGGCGCUCAAAGGUUCCCUCAGAAUGGUUGGAAAUCAUUCAUAGAGUGUAAAGGCAUAAGGGAGCUUGACUGCGAGACCUACAAGUCGAGCAGGGUCGAAAGACGGACUUAGUGAUCCGGUGGUUCCGCAUGGAAGGGCCAUCGCUCAACGGAUAAAAGCUACCCCGGGGAUAACAGGCUUAUCUCCCCCAAGAGUUCACAUCGACGGGGAGGUUUGGCACCUCGAUGUCGGCUCAUCGCAUCCUGGGGCUGUAGUCGGUCCCAAGGGUUGGGCUGUUCGCCCAUUAAAGCGGUACGCGAGCUGGGUUCAGAACGUCGUGAGACAGUUCGGUCCCUAUCCGUCGUGGGCGUAGGAAAUUUGAGAGGAGCUGUCCUUAGUACGAGAGGACCGGGAUGGACAUACCUCUGGUGUACCAGUUGUCGUGCCAACGGCAUAGCUGGGUAGCUAUGUGUGGACGGGAUAAGUGCUGAAAGCAUCUAAGCAUGAAGCCCCCCUCAAGAUGAGAUUUCCCAACUUCGGUUAUAAGAUCCCUCAAAGAUGAUGAGGUUAAUAGGUUCGAGGUGGAAGCAUGGUGACAUGUGGAGCUGACGAAUACUAAUCGAUCGAAGACUUAAUCAA
rnacentral:rRNA from 1 species